GGGGAAGCCAGAGAGUGGAAGGAGAGUGGUUGCCCUUCCUUCAGGACUGAGAAGCCCUUAGGGCUGAAACCCCCAACUGAAGGUGGUGGGAUUGUGCACUCCUUCGCUGGUCAGUUAUGAGGCUCAUCUGGAAGAGGUGGUGAUGGUCCUACCAAUUGUUCUGAUUCAUUUCUGACAUUUGAGCCCGCCAGACGUAUUACAUCUGGAGCAACAAAGGCUGGAGGCAGAAGAAAUAACAGUGUGGGUGAGACAGCUCUCUGUCUUGGAUGAUUGAUGCAGGAACAACAGAGCUUGACUGUUUGAUGGCCUCUGACUCACCCGUACUGAUGUGUCCUAUACUGGGCAGGCAUUCCUUGGGCUGGUGCAGGUCACUGAAAAACAUGUGGUAAGAGGCUGCAGUCCAUCACCUAGGUCAGAGAGGGGAACAAACACAGACUCUCUAUGCUGUGCUGCCAAUCAAGAGAGAGGUUGGAUUCAUACCAUAGCAUGCUGGAUUUCAUGAGUAACACAAGUUCUUCAGACAUAUUAAAGGAAACAAGAUCUGUGGUCACUUCAGGAGACCACAGAAAAUGCUUCAUUGUUUGCUCUGGUUUUUUUACCCCUUUUAUAGGUAGAAAUGGGUCUGAGGAAACCUCCUGGAUUUGAAGACUUGUUCUUUGGUGUAUUUGAAUUCCAGAUCCAGAUGCAAGUUUUUUGUGGCUAAUACCCUCUCUUACUUACACUGAUCAUUUUCUUAACAUCUGAUGCAUCUUUAAUAUGUAUAAUCAAACAUGUCCUAAAACAUCACCAUGGCUUUGGGGGACACCAGAGAGAAAUGUACCUUCUUGAAAGGAAUAUUUUACUGUGUUUUGUGGGCAGAAAUAAGACAAACUACCCUUUUCAAAAACAGGCAGAAGCAAAACAUCUAAUCUAUCAGUUGCAUCCAUCACUGUAAUAUCUGUCAUCUAACAUUAUGCUCAGUCAUCAGCAAUCUGGUGAAAGCACGCUGUGUAGCUCCAGUCCCCCACAUUCAAGAAUUAUCUUCCCCAAAUUCCACAGUAGCCCUGUCUUUCUGUUCAGUCUUAGACUAUAGGGAUUUUGAGUUUUCCCAUCAUGCCUUUCUGCAGUGACCUCCUUAAAGAGUCAUGGUGGCAAGAAGAACAUUGUUUAUCAAAAUAUUCAAACCAGCCCUGUGCAGCUGCCAAAAAGACACAUUUCUUUCACUUGGUUUCAGCUGCCAGGAGAGGUUCCUUUUGCUCAUCAAAGAGCACCCUUUACCCAUAACAUUUCAGGCUAAAUGUCAGCUAACAGGUCCCCAUUUGGGACCUUCUUAGCUUCUGGGAUUUCCAGUAAAAGAGUGGGAUUUUUCCCUAGCUGCUGCUGCUCCCAAGGAUGCUCACAGAGACCUCCCAUCUCCCCUAGCAGCCUCCAUCCUGUCCUGGGAUUUUUAUGAAGCAGAGUUAAGAUUCAGUUCAGUUAAUCCAACCUACGCCAUCACAGAAUCCGCUCCAGCACAGAGCCCAGACUAGGAAAUGUAAAUACAGUGGGCAGCAGUGGGAACAAGAAGGGAAAUCCGUGGGGGGAGGGGGCAUUUAACUGGUACAUUCAAUAGACUGAGAGAUGAGUAGCAGGGCCUAAAAUAACCCUCCCUAUCUUACACUCCAUUGCUUGGGGGGGGGGAGGGGGGGAAGGCACAAGAUCCAGGCUCAAGAACCAAGAUUCACAAACUCUGAAAUACCCAUAGUUCUAAGGAAACCUCUAAAAAUCUGUUUUCCCCACCUCGAAGAGUCCCCAAAUGGCUUCCUAGCAGUUAGCGAUAGCAUAAAUUACCAGCACUUGAGUGAACUAGCAAAUGCCCUUAUUAGCACCUAGGUGGUGAUGCUGGGCUGGUAAAUUGAAUCUUUGCAAAUCAGGGUGGUGUUUGCCAGGUCUCCAGCCUGUGUCAACACAGCUCUUUGAGUGAGGCCUCUCCUGACCCCUUAGCUCUUAGCUGCAGGGCUAGAGGGGGAUGCAGCUUGCUACGCAGCCUGGAAUUUUCAAGCUUUUUUCUUCUUUUAGCCAUUUAAUGCUGUCUGAGAAGAGGCAGGGGGUAGGAGAGACAGAGGGAAAGAGAGAGACACUGAGUCAGACACAGACAGAGAGAAAAAGGUAGGUGCAUAGUGAGAAAGAGAGGGAGAGCAAUAGAUAGUGAUACAGAAUGAGCACAUGAGAUAAAUCCCUUUUACGCAUGGAAAAUCAGCUCUUGGCAGAGGUGGGUUGAGGACACAUGGGCCCAAAUUCCCUGUUGGAGUAAUCCUAUUGACUGUCCUGGAAUUACAGCAGAAGGGAAAAUGGUUCACACUUGAGAUCCAGAUUGCAAAGAUAUUUGAGGUUUCUGGCUCUUCCCAUAAUAGUGAUGAAGCCAGGUACAAAGAUCAGAGCAAUAUCAGAAUCGAGAUCCAGAUGAGCCUAACCCAGUCCUUGGCUUUGGUUUGGACCUACGUUGACUUUCUGUUACACAGGUACGUGGAGUGGGCUUGUCAGAAGCACUUGGCAUGGGCCAACUCUGUUCUCAUUGAAGUGAAUGUGAGUUUUACUAUUGGCUUCCAUGAGGAGCAGAGAGAGGCCCCCACCAAGUGCUUCUGACAGUCCAACCCGUAACAAAUGAACGUUGACAAUGUUUAUAUUCUUGUCUGGCAACCACAACCACCAGAGCCUGCUCAUUCCUGCAGCUGAGUGUGUGGGGCUCCCAUUGACUUCAGUGGGAAUGGUUCCCAUGUACCUUGCGGGAUAAGCGGGAAGGACCCUGCCAAUGAGAACUGUAGCUGAAUAGACAGAACAGUAAAAGAAAGAAAGAAGGCUGCACAGGUCAGUUAGGAGAAGGUCUAACCUGCUCCUACUUAUACGCUGUGUAGCGCAGAUUUUCAUAUUUCAUGGAAAAAGUACAGCUACUUUGGGAAUCACAUGUAAAUUAUACAAAAUUGCUGCCCUCCCUCCUAGAAUCCAGUGUCAGGUAUGUGAAUGUCUAAAUGGAUUUGUAUAUUCACAGUCCCUGAUUCAGUGCCCGUAAGAAUCAGUGGAAAGACUCCCAUUGACUUCAGUGGGUGCUGAAUUGGCCCCAAAGACUUUAACAUUAAAAGGCACGGUUAUCUUCUCUAGUCUGGCCUCCUACAUAACACCAGCCAUAAAUUUCCACCAGUGAUUCUUACUUACCAAAAUAGGGCAAAGAAAGUAAAGGAAAGCCCCAGGGGGGAGAAAUGGCCAGUCCCUAGCAGCACCAUGCACAUAUUUCCUCUGCUAAAAUGUCAAGAAGGAUUUGGUGUGGAAGCUAACGCAGGGAUCUGUGCAUGAGUCUCACUGACCCUGACAGGGCAUGGCAGGUCACAUUUUCCUGGGGGGAGACUGCCUUUUUAUAGCUCUCCAGUGUAUCAGGCAUAGGCAUCUUUCCAGUGACAGGACCCCAUCUGUGUUUACAGCAAGAAUAAUCUGCUCACGCAAGGCUUAGAUCUCUCUUCCAGGAACCUGGACAGUGAUGCAACAAUACCCACCCUCCUUCCACCUCAGCGCUUUGUUGUCUGGAGUCUCCUUGAAGGCCGUAAAGUAAGCUAGUAGUUUUAUUGCCUUUUCCCAGCAUCAGUUCUGGUUUGCUAUCACAGGGAUUGAAUUUAUCUCCCAUCCUGGCCUGUGAAGAUCUGAUGGUAAAAGAAACAAAUGCACGAACAGUAUUCACUGAAAAGUCUUUCCGCAGGGCAUGACUGAGGAGCUUUGGCAGAGAUGAGUGCAGGCUCGGCGAGAAGCACAUGGGGAGCUACAGGUGCGGACAGAGUACUUACAUUCCUCUACAAAAAUUCAGUGCCACCAACCUAACUCAGCCAGUCACUGUGUGUCCCAGCACUGGCUAGAGCCUGACCAAUAUAACUCCAGCGCUUGAAUCUACAGCAAAAAGAAUAGAGCAGGGAUGCAUAAAUGCAAUACACAGUUGAGAACACUAGGGGGAGUUUAGCAAAGGAGUCACCACUGAAGAGAGAGGCAAGAAGGCAGAGCUGGUUCAGUCUUGUACCUUUGCUUGAAUGAAGAAUUAAGUUCAGUUCCUCGCUGAGUGCAGCUCCCACUUCUGGGGGGCAGGAGAAAAGGGCCUGGUUUUACAGGUGCCGAGCACCAUCUCCAUUAACUUCAGUGAGAGGUGCUGAGCACAUGCAAAAGCUGAACUCUAAAAAUCCAGCCAUUUGUGUUUCAAAAAAAAACAGAAACAAGCCUCAAAAAUCCAGUCCUAACACGCAGCAGAAGCCGACCCCAUGACACUGGUGCAGUGCGCUCUGGUGUGAAUUGCUCCGGCUGUGGGGUAAUACAGCUAGUGACAAGAGAUGGGGCAGAGCAGCACUUGGUGAGUCUGCAUCUAAAUGCAGACCCUCCUCAAAGCUCAGGGGAUCUGGAGUCACGGCCAGGCCUCUUGCUGCUCGUGACAGUAAUACAAAGCUGAGUAACUGCUCAAAAUAACAGCGCUUCUCCCCAAGGGGAGCUACCCGAUCUCCACCCAGUGUGGCUGGCAUGAGCCUCUGUCGAUUACCACUGAGCUGAAUCCUAUCAGGUGUCAAACUGCAUUGAAUCAAUUAGCACCUCUUCUCUCCUCCCAGAGGAGCCAGCUCACCCCCAGGCUUUGAAAAGGGCUGCAGUCUGUUUAUCUACAGUGGGAACCAGCAGAGCCAGGUGGCCCUGGUAUGUCAGUAGCAGCUCCAGGAGGUGACGAGAUGGAAGCCAUGUUACACUCAACUCUCCUGAAUGCAGCAAUCUGCAGUGGAGAUGAAAGACCUGCCAUUUGCUCAGGUCACCAUUUUAUCACCUGCUCUUGGACUUCCUUGCAGGGUGAAGGAAUUCUUUCCCAUAGAAAGGAUCAGUUUCCAUUCUUCAAACAAUAAUGAUGCAUGCAUGGUACCACAAUAGGCAGCAUAGAGACUCUUGCUUCUAGGAGUGGGCUCAAACCUAAACCCCAGUGCUGACACAUUUGGAUCCAGAUCUGAACUUUGGCCUAUAUUCUUACAAUGGACAGAACCAAAAUCCUGAUCCAAACACCCCAAAGCUACGGGGAAGUUUGGAUCUGGAUCUAUAGCUGAACUUUGCGAACUUGGCUCCAUGUCUAGUGUGAAUUCAAAUUCUAGACAUAGGUUUGAGGGUCAGUUUGUACUGGAGCUGAGCUAGUUUGCUCAUUCCUAUGAUGCGUUGCCCUGGUAAAUGUGAUUUCGUGCUGGACAGCACCAUGUCUGUUCAGCUGUCAAGGAUUCAGAACACAUUUAACAAUAAACAAUAAGUAAAUGCUUGUAUGGUUAAAACCCAUUUCUCUCAGAAGGGUAAUGCUUAAGUAAUGCAUGGCUCCUUGCUUCAUGGGAGGCCGUAGACUUGGAAAGAUAUCAGUCACAGAAGAUGGAUCAUUGCCAAGGGGUCAAGUCUAGUUAGAAUAAGUAGAUUGUAUGUUUUUGGGACAAGUUUAAUAUUUUACUCAUUUGCACAGCAUCCAUCACAAU